rnacentral:misc_RNA from 1 species
GUAGGUGAACCUGCGGAAGGAUCAUUACAGUAGUCACCCAGGUUGCCGCAAGGCCUCCUGGGUAACCUACCACCCUUUGUUUAUUACACCUUGUUGCUUUGGCAAGCCUGCCCUCGGGCUGCUGGCUCCGGCCGGCGAGCGCUUGCCAGAGGACCUAAACUCUGUUUGUCUAUACUGUCUGAGUACUAUAUAAUAGUUAAAACUUUCAACAACGGAUCACUCGGCUCUG